ensembl:lncRNA
CAGCUGUUUGCUUGCCUCUUGCAUAGCUGAUAUGGAAAAUCCUUUCGGGUUGUGUCACGGUUUGAUCAGCAGUGGCUCAGCCCUGGGGUGCAGUGGGGCUCCUGCAGCAGCGCCUUUGCUCUGGGUUUUGCUCUCAUGAGCACCCAAAGGCUGCAGUGAAGCACGGAAAAUACAAAUGCACUCAUUGCAAAGCGUUUUUGUGUCUGCAGAAAGGUGUGCUUUGCUGUUUGCCACCGUGGUAGCAAAGAAGGAGCUGAGAGCACUGCGGUGUGGCUGGGGAUGCUGUGCAGGUUGCGGUCCAUGAAAUGGGAUUCCCUGUGCUGCAGACAUGGGAGAUGUGCAUCUUUGCCCUUGCAUUUCCACCUUCACGCCUCAUUUCCCCUGAAAUCUCUGUGCAUUUGUUGCUCCAUUUUCAUAACCAAGGUGCUGUGCAGCCCCUUUGCAGGAGUGCAUUACAACAGCACCUCUAUCAGCCAUACCCGGAGCUCAGUAAGAGGAGCUCAGCAACUUAAUGUGAUAAAAUCUAUUUCCCCCAAAGCUGCAUUGUUUGUCAUCGAUGAUAUCCUGCGCUUUAAUUCUGCAUUAAAAAUCUCAGCCAUCCCAACAUAUUUCUGGGGAUCAGAGGAAAGCGGACAGACCCAUCCUCUUUGUUUAGCCCUUAAGGAGUUGGCUCAACAGGAGCUGUUUUCCAGUCCCUGAUUUCCCCUGGGUCCAGGGCUCAAGGAGGAUGUGGUGCACGCGGUCUCUCGAGCUGCUCCUCCAACUCCCACCUCUUGGCCACAAAUCCUUUGGCUCCACCAACUGAACAGCCUCUGAUUUCUGUGGCUGCUGCUUCACAUCCUCUGUGGAUCUGUUGGAGGAGGGAGGAUUUCAUCAGCCCCGUGUGCUGGGAAUACAUCUGCAUCCCUUCAGGAGCCGAAGCAGCAGCAUCUCCUGUGCGCUCCUGACCUCACUCCCACUACUGUUCUGGCUGAACUCGGUGGAAUAAUGACAUCAUUAAGCUGAGGGUUUGGAGGUUCUGUCUGCAAGGACAGGGAUACAUCCUGGAAAGGCAUUGGGGUACCCAGAAGAGCUGGGAAACCUGAGCUGUGUCUGCACUGCUGCCUACUGCUCUGCAUCCGAUCAGUCCGUGCUGUGCUGAGGUUCCUAUCCGGGUGUAUGGGAUGGCUCCAGGCUCAGCUGUUUGUUAAAACAGGCUCAGAGAGCAGAAAAGCUUCAGUGUGAGAGCUUCAGGACUGCGCUUGGGGAUGAGACACCUCCAAAGGAGAUGGCACCCACUGAUGGAUGGAGCUCCAACCCCGACCUGCUCCUCGCUUCAUCCACGUCUUCUCACAAAUGCAAUACGGAUGGGAGGUUCUUUUGUGCAAUGUGAUGAGACAGCACGAAGCCAGGAGGAAAAAAAAGCCGGACGGAGGUGGAAAUGGGUUGGGUGUUAUUGCAGGGUUUGGGGUUUUGUUGUUUUGUUUUCUUUUCUUGUUAUAAAGAAACUCUUGGAAGGUUGAGCAGUCGGAAGGGGAAUGCUGAGCAGAGCCACCGUUGGGCUGCCCAAGUGGUCUGCUUGGGGUGGAAGCAAAGUGGGGGCACGUGGGCUGCUCCCAGUGCUCCCAGUGACACGGGCUGGUUUUGGCCAUCGGAAGUGAACAAGCUCUGUUCUAUUUUUACUGGCUUUCCUGUAGAUGCUCUUUAUAAAUAGGUACGUGCUGCACCAAAGGCGUCCCUCCCUGCCUCCUGCAAUGGGAGCCAUGUCCUCCCACCAGGCUGCAGCUCCCCAGCACUGGAAUGAAUGCCAAAAGGUGUUCGGUGUCUGGGGGUGAGGGCUGACCCCAUUUCCAUCCCUGUGAGCCUCGAAUAACCCAACGGUGCUCUCCUCCCAUUGCGGUGGAUGGAGCUCGGAGGGCUCUGUGCUCCGUGUCACAUCCAGCCCUGCAAAGCAGCUGUGAAGCGAUGGGUUUGCAGCCUUCCUGCAGCACUUAUUCUGGUCCUGAGGGCGCAAAGGGAUCGAACAAACAAACCUGCAGUGAUCCCAUAGGGGGGAGCAACCGUCUGCCUGCAGGGGGGUCGGGGCUGCAGACAGCCCAGCACCCCAUGAGAUGGGACCCAGCACCCUCAGCACCCCCUGUGGGCAGGAGGAGAGCUGAUUUCCUCUCGGGAAGCCCUGAUCCCAGAGGUGUUGAAUUUAGUUUCUUUUGGAACAUUAAACAGUAGCCCUUAAAAGUGGGGAUAGAAUGUAUCAGUACUAAAGUUAUUUUUCUUUCUCACCUCUGUGUUACCCAGAGAUUUUUUUAUGAGAUAGGUGUGUGUGCGCACCGUGGUUGUGCCUCAUCCGUUUUCAAUGAGCUCUGUGUUAAAGCGUCUCUCUGCUUGGGGUUGGAUGGGAUGGGAAGAGCAGAGCCCUUUUGCUGGGCUCUGAAGCAGUGAUGCCCCAAUGGGUGCCAGCAGCUCUGCUCCCCAAACCUCACCUUCCCCACGGACACCCCGAGUGUCCCCAUCCAUUGCAGGCAGUUGGACCAAAUGGCCUCUAAGGGUCCCUUCCAACUCCAUUCCAUGACUCUGUGAUGUCUCCAACUCGUGGAAAUCACCAAAUUUCAACCUGUUCUCAGUGUUGUACAUAACAGCUCUGGCAACAAAACCGCCCUUCAGCCCACGUGUGCUCCAUGCUGUUGGAUUUCGUUUGCUUGAUUGCUGACCCGGCUAAUUGUUAAUGUGCUUCCUCCAAAUAAGCGAGAGUUUGAUCGUCUUUAAUUGUUGGUCCGGUGUAUUGUCUGCAUUGCCACGACUCCGAAUAUAGCCCUGUGUGCUUCGUAGAUAACCAUCACACCAGGACAGCCACGCAGAAAUGUCAUUUUGGGGGGGGGGGGAGCCGGAUUGGCAAGGGAAGGCAAAUUAAAAAUGUACCCAGUUGAUUAAAAAGCAAAAAAAAAAAAAAAGGGAGCGAUGUAAUGAUGGCUGACAGCAAAAGAUCCGAAAAAAUAAUAGCAUGUAUUUAUUCCCAUAAUCAUCCGACUGCAGGCUGCUCAUCUUUAUUCAUAGCCCUUCGAAGCCACGCUCGGAGAUGCUGAGGAAGCCGUGCGUCGUGCGGUGCUUGAGACGCCAAACACGUCUGAGCUCCUCCUGCUGUCUGCAGCCCUCCUCCCUCCCCAUGUCAGUGUGUUUGACGGCGAGGGGAGCUUUGCCACGGGGGCCCCUCCAGGUGGAUUUGUAGGGCAGGGCUGCAGGGUGCUGUAGGCAGCACUGGGGUGAUGUUCAUGGAUAACAGCCGAAAAGGGCACAGAUGUUUUCCAAGAUGCGUUUCAGUGCUGCUGUGGUCACUGAAUUCUUCUGAAAUUGAAGAAUAGGGUUUUUCUCCUCUGUACACCCUUGGAAGGCUGCGUGCCCCCCUCUCUUGCUGCUCCUGUUGCACAGAUCUGUAAUGUGGUGGUUUGGCCCACUUCUGAUGUGGGGAAAUCGCCCUUUGUCGUCACCUUUUUUACUUUUCAAAGAUGCCAUCAUCAGUGCAUCUUCCAAAGGAAUGGGCUGAGAUCUGCUCUCCUCCUCUGCUGUUUUCCAGACCUUUGUCUCCGAGCACAGCGAGGCCAGGCCAGCAGCAGUGCCAUUCCAGAGAGUGUUUUGGGGCAGGACGACUUACCUGGCUCUAGAAAAGCCAUUGACUUACCUGAGCCUUUGUGCUAUUAAGAGGAGAAGUAGCAGUGGCAUGGAGUUGUGGCCCAGUGCCUGAAAUGGGGCAGUUUUAGUCAAAAUGCUGUGUGUUUGCUACCACCCACCUGCCAUUGGUGUAUGGGAAAUGGGACUUGGCCAUUGAUUUGAGUGCCAACAGAGCGAUGUUGGUGUGCGGGGAGGAAGACUGUUGCUGUGGAGGGAGGAGUGUUCCCAUGGCCAAACUGAGCUCCUCCCAAGGAGAAUGGGCUCUUCCUUCAGGACCUGAGGUCCCGAAGCUUUGCAAGAGGGGAACACCGCAACCUGACCGAGCACCCACCUCUCACACAGGAGGUCUGAAUUUCUUCAUUCCCCAUCAUUUACUAUGCAAUUUGUUGCCGUGAUUCCUUCCUGGCUGGAUAUAGCAUUGAUGUUGCUUUCCAUGUCAUCAGGCAGUGCUUUGGCUGGUGAUGAGAAGUCCCUGGGACUCUCUCAGCAGCAACACACACGGAGAUAUUCCAGCAGUGCCAUCCUGCCUCCCGAAACCCAACACUCCAACCUGACAACCCAGCAGCCUUCUCUGCACGGAGGCUGAAUCCGGAGCAGCCAGGCUUUGCAGAAACAGCUCCAUUUGUGGCUGCAGAUGCAAAGCUCAGCAUCGUUGCUCUGCUUUCCUUUUCAUUUCGGUUUGCCCAGUGAGCUGUGUUGCCCACGUUUCAAUUUGUUCCAUUGGUGCUGGUCUGAUGCUCAAACAAACACCCCGCCGUCCUGGUGACCCUCACUGUGCUGUGGGCUGCAUACUCAGCUCCACACACGGGUGGGUUUUUGGGUUUUCGUUUUCUGGUUGUGUGGAUUUUUUUUUUUUACCUGAUGUCAAACUUAUUUUUUAAAUUUUUUUUUCAUUAGGACUCAAAACUGUUCUUUCAUACGCAAAGUUCAAUAAAACGGCUGAAACACA